rnacentral:rRNA from 1 species
GACGAACGCUGGCGGCGUGCUUAACACAUGCAAGUCGAACGGAAAGGCCCUGCUUUUGUGGGGUGCUCGAGUGGCGAACGGGUGAGUAACACGUGAGUAACCUGCCCUUGACUUUGGGAUAACUUCAGGAAACUGGGGCUAAUACCGGAUAGGAGCUCCUGCUGCAUGGUGGGGGUUGGUAAGUUUCGGCGGUUGGGGAUGUACUCGCGGCUUAUCAGCUUGUUGGUGGGGUAGUGGCUUACCAAGGCUUUGACGGGUAGCCGGCCUGAGAGGGUGACCGGCCACAUUGGGACUGAGAUACGGCACAGACUCCUACGGGAGGCAGCAGUGGGGAAUAUUGCACAAUGGGCGGAAGCCUGAUGCAGCAACGCCGCGUGCGGGAUGACGGCCUUCGGGUUGUAAACCGCUUUCGCCUGUGACGAAGCGUGAGUGACGGUAAUGGGUAAAGAAGCACCGGCUAACUACGUG